GACGAACGCUGGCGGCGUGCUUAACACAUGCAAGUCGAACGAAGUGGCGAACGGGUGAGUAACGCGUAAUCAACCUGCCCUUCAGAGGGGGACAACAGUUGGAAACGACUGCUAAUACCGCAUACUGAAGGAGGGGAUUGCGUCUGAUUAGCUAGGUGGAGGGGUAACGGCCCACCAAGGCGAUGAUCAGUAGUCGGUUUUAGAAUGUGAACGGCAACAUCGGGACGUAGACACGCCCCAGACUCCUGCGGGGUGCCGCAGUGGGGACGUCUUCGGAAUGGACGGAAGUCUGGCGGAGCAACUCCGCGGGAGUGAUGACGGCCUUCGGGUUGUAAAGCUCUGUUAAUCGGAACGCGGUACCAGACUAGAAAACCACGGCUAACUACGUUCCAGCAGCCGCGGUAAUAC
rnacentral:rRNA from 1 species